GAUGAACGCUAGCUACAGGCUUAACACAUGCAAGUCGAGGGGCAUCGGGAAGAAAGCUUGCUUUCUUUGCUGGCGACCGGCGCACGGGUGAGUAACACGUAUCCAACCUGCCCUUUACUCGGGGAUAGCCUUUCGAAAGAAAGAUUAAUACCCGAUAGCAUAAUGAUUCCGCAUGGUUUCAUUAUUAAAGGAUUCCGGUAAAGGAUGGGGAUGCGUUCCAUUAGGUUGUUGGUGAGGUAACGGCCCACCAAGCCUUCGAUGGAUAGGGGUUCUGAGAGGAAGGUCCCCCACAUUGGAACUGAGACACGGUCCAAACUCCUACGGGAGGCAGCAGUGAGGAAUAUUGGUCAAUGGGCGCUAGCCUGAACCAGCCAAGUAGCGUGAAGGAUGAAGGCUCUAUGGGUCGUAAACUUCUUUUAUAUAAGAAUAAAGUGCAGUAUGUAUACUGUUUUGUAUGUAUUAUAUGAAUAAGGAUCGGCUAACUCCGUGCCAGCAGCCGCGGUAAUACGGAGGAUCCGAGCGUUAUCCGGAUUUAUUGGGUUUAAAGGGAGCGUAGGUGGACUGGUAAGUCAGUUGUGAAAGUUUGCGGCUCAACCGUAAAAUUGCAGUUGAUACUGUCAGUCUUGAGUACAGUAGAGGUGGGCGGAAUUCGUGGUGUAGCGGUGAAAUGCUUAGAUAUCACGAAGAACUCCGAUUGCGAAGGCAGCUCACUGGACUGCAACUGACACUGAUGCUCGAAAGUGUGGGUAUCAAACAGG
rnacentral:rRNA from 1 species